rnacentral:lncRNA from 1 species
GUAUAAAAGAACACCUUGUAGUUUCACACUGCGAAGUAAAACAUGGAGCAAAAGUGAGUGUACUCUGCCCACCUCGAGGUGCCUGGCUUGCAUUUUUCUGUUGUUUUCUUUGGCCGCUCUCCUGUUUCCCACACAGAUACGGACUUAGCCCUUGCACCCGGGGACCAGAUAGAGGGUGUAGCUGUGUGUUUCCCAGGGUAGGAAAAUUUUCCUGGAUCAAGGAUUUUAAGAGCUUAAUACUACUCCGUGAAGUCCUGCUUUUUUGUACACUGUAAGGAUGGAAUCCUGACUGGCAUCCCUCAUAAACUGUUCUGCUAAUGCUUCUGGGGAUAAACUUGAGCGGUGCAGCUGAUGCUGCCAAGGCUCUGGGUGCAUUUUGUCAGCUGAUUCCGGACGUGUUUACCGCCUCCUUCCUGAGGAGACUUGCUCAACUCUCGGCUCCCACGAAGAGCCUGGCAGUGGGACUUGUCCCUGCCCUGCCACAUGGAAGGACGGGGUCAUUCUGGGGGCCUCGUUCCCAUGCCUGCUCCUCGCUCCAUCUUUCCCCUCUUCUCUCUUCCUGUUUCUGCUUCUUUGGCUCUGCUUUCUCUUGGUUUUGGUGGAGAGUUGAGCUCAUUUCACACAUGUGAUCACUUGAUGUAGUGCAUUCCUAACUUUUCAGGUCUGGGGUGUUAACGACAGCAGGCUCUGUUCUGGCCUUUAGCAGGUAUUUUCUCACCAUUUGAAUUCUUCUGGCGUGUACUUCAAUGCGUUCUUCUAAAGUAUCUUCACUUGCCUUUCUCGCCUUCAAAGGAGCUGGUGCUCAGAGUGAGAAAUAGGAGCAGCACCUUGGUGUGUGAAGUGAAUGUGGCUUAAGGCAGCUGGCUCCCUGUGCCCCUCUCUUCACCUUCGGGGAGGAAACGUCAUCACCACAGAGCAUGAAUUUGCCCGUGGAGUCUUUCUUCCCUGCUCAUACCCAUGGCUGUGAGGGACCCCAGCUGACCACAGACCUCAUGCCUUUGGCCUGGGGGCAGACAGAAGGAAUGCAAGUGUUUUGCUCCGGCUGUUGACCCUUCUGUGGUCCGGAGGUCAGUUGCCUCUGAUGGGAAACCUAACACUCUGGCUACAUAGUGGGUGAGGUCUGGGCUGAGGGAAGUUUUCUUGGGG